AACGAACGCUGGCGGCAUGCCUAACACAUGCAAGUCGAACGAAGCCUUCGGGCUUAGUGGCGCACGGGUGCGUAACGCGUGGGAACCUGCCCCUUGGUUCGGAAUAACAGUUAGAAAUGACUGCUAAUACCGGAUGAUGACGAAAGUCCAAAGAUUUAUCGCCGAGGGAUGGGCCCGCGUAGGAUUAGCUAGUUGGUGAGGUAAUGGCUCACCAAGGCGACGAUCCUUAGCUGGUCUGAGAGGAUGAUCAGCCACACUGGGACUGAGACACGGCCCAGACUCCUACGGGAGGCAGCAGUGGGGAAUAUUGGACAAUGGGCGAAAGCCUGAUCCAGCAAUGCCGCGUGAGUGAUGAAGGCCUAGGGUUGUAAAGCUCUUUUACCAGGGAUGAUAAUGACAGUACCUGGAGAAUAAGCUCCGGCUAAACUCCGUGCCAGCAGCCGCGGUAAU
rnacentral:rRNA from 1 species